GAUGAAGAACGCAGCGAAAUGCGAUAAGUAAUGUGAAUUGCAGAAUUCAGUGAAUCAUCGAAUCUUUGAACGCAUCUUGCGCUCCUUGGUAUUCUGAGGAGCAUGCCUGUUUGAGUGUCAUUAAAUUCUCAACUACACUGACUUUGAAUUGGUGUGGCUUGGAUUUGGGGGGAAAAUUGUUGUGGUCUUUUUGUAUAGUCUGCUCCCCUGAAAUUGAUUAGCGGUACCUUUGUGGAACUGUCUACAGGUGUGAUAAUUAUCUACAUCUUAGACAUCUGCUGGAAUGCUGCUUUCUAAACCUUACUUGUAUUGACAAUCUUGACCUCAAAUCAGGUAGGACUACCCGCUGAACUUAAGCAUAUCAAUAAGCGGAGGA
rnacentral:misc_RNA from 1 species